CACCCUGAUACCCCGAUGCCACCUGACUGCAGACAUGUGAAUUUUGGAGCCUACUGAUGUCCACUGGCCCAUCCUCAGAGGACUGGAAGCUUCCCUAUCUCUAUGCUUACCUCAGCCUCGUCACACCCGUCUCGAGAACUCCACUCAGGCCCUGCUGCUCCUCCCACCUGUACGGUUUGCAUUCACGGUGUGCGGUCCCGAGGCCCUGGUGGGCAGCUCAGAGUCAGUGGGAAGUGGGAUGUCAGCAGGCUUGUCUGGGAGCUGCUGCCUCUGUGAAGGAGCUGGGCUUGGCGAGCAGCAGACAUCACCCACAAGGCCUCAUCCCAGCCCGGCCACAGGGGCUCCAAAGAAAUCACAAGAUAACACAGCUGCAGCCUGUUCCUGCCACUGUCUCUUUCUGUCCCCUCGAGCCUGCCCCAGCCAGCCCACCACCAUGAUGGGUAGUGAUGGGCGAGUGGGAGGAAGCGAAGAGCUGGAGCAACCUGUCAGCAGAGAGGCCGGCAGAACAGACUUCUAGGGGCCAACCCUGUGGCCGAGUGGUUAAGUUCACGUGCUCCACUGCAGGCGGCCCAGUGUUUCGUCAGUUCGAAUCCUGCUCAUCGAGCCAUGCUGAGGUGGGAUCCCACAUGCCACAACUAGAAGGACCCACACCUAAGAAUAUACAACUAUGUACCUGGGGGCUUUGGGGAGAAAAAGGAAAAAUAAAAUAAAAUCUUUAAAAAAAAAAAAGAACAGACUUCUGCCACAUGCAGACACUGCUCUGGAGGCUGGAGGGUGUGCAAGACUGAUAGAGUCCCUGCCCCCAGGGAGCUUAUAGUCUAGCAGACAUGCAGGCAAG
rnacentral:lncRNA from 1 species